rnacentral:rRNA from 1 species
AUUAGAGGAAGUAAAAGUCGUAACAAGGUUUCCGUAGGUGAACCUGCGGAAGGAUCAUUACAGAGUUCAUGCCCGAAAGGGUAGACCUCCCACCCUUGUGUAUUAUUACUUUGUUGCUUUGGCGAGCUGCCUUCGGGCCUUGUAUGCUCGCCAGAGAAUACCAAAACUCUUUUUAUUAAUGUCGUCUGAGUACUAUAUAAUAGUUAAAACUUUCAACAACGGAUCUCUUGGUUCUGGCAUCGAUGAAGAACGCAGCGAAAUGCGAUAAGUAAUGUGAAUUGCAGAAUUCAGUGAAUCAUCGAAUCUUUGAACGCACAUUGCGCCCCUUGGUAUUCCGGGGGGCAUGCCUGUUCGAGCGUCAUUUCAACCCUCAAGCUUAGCUUGGUAUUGAGUCUAUGUCAGUAAUGGCAGGCUCUAAAAUCAGUGGCGGCGCCGCUGGGUCCUGAACGUAGUAAUAUCUCUCGUUACAGGUUCUCGGUGUGCUUCUGCCAAAACCCAAAUUUUUCUAUGGUUGACCUCGGAUCAGGUAGGGAUACCCGCUGAACUUAAGCAUAUCAAUAAGCCGGAGGAAA